rnacentral:lncRNA from 1 species
GCCUUUAAUUGCACAGAAGGAAAAACUUGAUCAAAGAAACCAUGAUGAACACGUUCCUUCGCGUAUCUUUGUCUCUAAUCAUGUUUACAGUGGUGAACAGUCUUGGUAAAACUGUUCUCCAGACGCCUAAUGAUCUACUGAAGAGACAGGAUGAAUCCGCUGUGAUCACUUGUACUCACAAGAUACAGAGCUAUGACCAAAUUUUGUGGUACAAACAAAGUCAGGACUCAUUGGGCUUAAAGCUGAUGGGGUACCUUCAAUAUAAUAACAAGUAUCCAGAGCCUGAAUUUGAAAAUAAGAUCAAAUUGGAGGGAGAAGCAAAGACAAAUGGAAAUUUGACUAUCAACAACCUCACGCUGACUGACAGUGCAGUGUAUUUCUGUGCAGCAUAUUACACAGUGCUCAGAACCACCUCAGUCUGAUACAAAAACCUCUUUUAAUGGCUUGCUUUAAAAGUGUACUCCUCUCCACACCUGUGAGUUUUGAUUCAGUGCCAGUACUGAACACAGUACCAGUAGUUCUUUCUUAAAGUGUUGCUUAACAUCUUGUAGUAUGAGGUCAAUUCAAUUCUCAUCCCAACUCCUGUAUUAACUUAAAUUUGAAUCAUCACAGAAGAUUAUAAUUCAAUCACGCCCGCCUCAAUGUAACAAAAUGAGAAGCAUUAUUCUGUUAAUUCUGUCGCUACAUUAAUAAACUCUUGAAAUAUUCACAGAAAUAUCUGUAUUUUUCUCUAUGUUUCACAAAUUCCAAGUGUUUUAAUAGCAGUAAAAGGGAGUUCUGCUCACAUAAAAAGGAUGCUACAUUCAUCCAGAUGUACUGGUAUCGACAGCGCCGAGGACAAACUAUGACUCUAAUCAUGUUCACAAGCACUUAGAGCAAUCCUGACUAUGGUGAUUUUGAUCCAAACUAAUUUUCAGCCAUUAAAACUGUUCCAGAGAGCGGAUCUCUGACUGUGAACAAUGUGCAGUCAGAUGAUAGUGCCGUCUAUCUCUGCUCAGUCAAACACCACACAGUGCAGUGAAUUUUGGCAAAAGUUAAACAAAAACAGCUGCCAUAAACAAUUACAGUAACAGUGAUCAACAGGGGGCAAUGUGAUUCCAUAAAUGUGCAGCCUGUUUGUCCAAAUUUGCUGUAAUAUGUAUAACUGACUCACAUAAAUGUUGCUUCAGACAUUGUCUAGUUAAGAAAAGUGAGUGGAUCUUUUGCAGCGUUUUACGCACGACACAGCGGUCAAAAAGUUAGUUAAAAAAACAAAACAAAAAAACAAAAACUGAUUCAGUGUGAAUGGCCC